rnacentral:rRNA from 1 species
UACGUAGGGUGCAAGCGUUAAUCGGAAUUACUGGGCGUAAAGCGUGCGCAGGCGGUUUUGUAAGUCUGUCGUGAAAUCCCCGGGCUCAACCUGGGAAUUGCGAUGGAGACUGCAAGGCUAGAAUCUGGCAGAGGGGGGUAGAAUUCCACGUGUAGCAGUGAAAUGCGUAGAGAUGUGGAGGAACACCGAUGGCGAAGGCAGCCCCCUGGGUCAAAAUUGACGCUCAUGCACGAAAGCGUGGGGAGCAAACAGG